AUAAAGACUGAACAGAUCUUUUUUGACUGCAAGCGAAUAAUCUGAACAAAACUAAUUUUAAUGCAAUGGAUAAGUCUGAUAAAUAAUUGAAAACUACAUUAUAUUGUAUUGUUCAGUCUUUAAAUAGCUGUACAGAUCAAAGUUAGCUUUUAAGACUUAUAUUCGUUUACUAGUGUCUUCCACCCCAAAAUAUACUUGACAAUUAACUCAAAACCUAGACAAUCAAAAUUUAUUGCGCAUAAUGCGAUCAGUAUUUGUCAUCUUUUCAUUUUUAUUUAGAUUUUCGUGGAUAUUUUGACGUUGAUUUUGAUAACAGCAUAACAAAGAAAAAGGUAAAUGUUCAAUAUCUGGUCAUUGCUUGCUAAAUAUAUUAUUUAACGCCAGUUAGUAAAACCAGCCAAAAAAUAGCAUUUUAUAGGUCAUCGUACAGCCUUCAAAUAUAAUCAAUAGCCAUUCCGUAUACAGAUGUAAAAAGCAAAAUGAAAAAAAAAAAAACAAAAAAACAAAAAAACAAAAAACAAAAAAACAAAAAAAAAAAAAACAAGAAAAAAAAACAAAAUAAAAACCGAAAGCAAACUUGCAGUCAGUACCCAACGACAACCACAACAUAACAAAAUCAUGACUUGUUCAUAGAAAUUGAAUCAAAAAUAAAAUGUUCUAUUCGGCAAUUAAAAACGUCAAUUUGUGUUCUUAUUCGCAAAUUCUGACUACGUUGGCAAAUGUAAAAAAUCACAGUGGUCAGCAUUAUUUUGUAGUUCACGAUACAAAAAAAAAUCGGCUUGCACUUAAUUUUGCAGAUGAAAUUUAGUAUUCAAAUAUGAGCCAAGUCAUUCCAAUCGUGAUAAGACCAUAUUGAUGUUUAAAGUCUUCAGUUCUUAUAUCAGUUAUUGAAUUGUCGAAUAUUUGUAGAUAAAAGUAACAAUUUGGCGAAACAUCAAACAAGAAAAAAAAGUAACUUUUAAACCCAGCUUGUUUAUAAUAUUUGCUGAUCACCCUAAAGUUGAACAAGGAGAUGAAACUCGACCAAAAGAAGACAAUAUGGAGAAACUGGUUGACGAAGUCAUGGAAUUUGCAAAGAAGACACGAUUACCAUGCCUUGUUGCAGGAAGACAAAUUAUGUUUGCCGGUGGAUCAUCAAUCUCUGUAUUUAUUCACCACAAAACAAAGAAGGAUGUUAUUCAGGAACUUGUUAAAAAAGGAUUCAAACAGUUUGAAAGAGGCGAUGUUGUUAACGACGAGGACGACAUUCAUUAUUUCAAAAGAAUGG